UACGUAGGUGGCAAGCGUUAUCCGGAUUUAUUGGGCGUAAAGGGUGCGCAGGCGGAUUGUUAAGUUUGAGGUGAAAGCGUUGGGCUUAACCCAAUACAGCCUUGAAUACUGGCAAUCUAGAGUGCAGAAGAGGGUAAUGGAACUCCAUGUGUAGCGGUAAAAUGCGUAGAUAUAUGGAAGAACACCAGCGGCGAAGGCGGUUACCUGGUCUGCUACUGACGCUCAGGCACGAAAGCGUGGGGAGCAAAUA
rnacentral:rRNA from 1 species